rnacentral:rRNA from 1 species
UACGAAGGGGGCUAGCGUUGUUCGGAAUUACUGGGCGUAAAGCGCACGUAGGCGGAUUUGUAAGUCAGGGGUGAAAUCCCGGGGCUCAACCUCGGAACUGCCUUUGAUACUGCAAGUCUCGAGUCCGAUAGAGGUGAGUGGAAUUCCUAGUGUAGAGGUGAAAUUCGUAGAUAUUAGGAAGAACACCAGUGGCGAGGGCGGCUCACUGGAUCGGUAACUGACGCUGAGGUGCGAAAGCGUGGGGAGCAAACAGG